UAUCUUAUUUCAUAUCUCUACAUGGUAUUUUUCUUUCUUAUCUUUCUUAAUUCUAUUUCUGUUUUACACCAUUUGUGUACAUGUCAUGUUCCAUUUUCUUUUCUAGUUCUAUGGAUCUAUCUGCUUUGUUUCCUUUCUACACAGAAUAUCUCACUUAUUUUCCUCCAUUUGUUCUGUAUCUGUUUAAUUUCAGUUUUGUGCAACAAACUACCUCUUCCUCUCAUUACUGUCACAUACAUCUAUUCUGAGUUAAUGGCAUUCCUGUUACUUUUAUUUCUUAUUUCUGUACCUAUUUAAUUUACUUUUUGUACAUAACAUAUUCAUUUUGUCUUAAUCCUUUUCAUUUCAGUUGUGUAUAUGACAGUCUCCUGGCCCCUCUUUCCCUCCCUCCACUAUCAAAUAAAUCUAUUUCUGUGUGUGGCUUUUCUAUUACUUUUUUUCUUAAUUCAAGGCCUCUCUCCAUCCUUCCUCUUUCUCUGUUUUCAGAAAAAUCUACUAUAUCCAUGGCAUUUCUCUUAUCUUCCUCUCAAAAUUCUAGAUCUGUCUUAUCUCCCUGUUCCUCUAUGUCUCUCUCUUUCUUCAUAUCUAUCAUCUAUGCAUGGCAUUCCUCCUUUUUCUUAAUUCUACAUCAGUUUAUUUUCAUUCAGUACAUGACAUUUUUUGUAUCCAUUUUUCUUAAUCCUGUGUCUGUUUUAUAUUAUAACAGUGCAUGACAGCUACAUCUAUCUGUCAACCCUGGAUUCUCUCUCUUUUGUCUCUCUACUAUCAGAUAAUUUAUUUGCUGUAAAUGGAAUGUAUCCUAUUUUCCUUUCUUAAUUCCAUAAAUAUUUUCUAUCUGUGAGUGCCAGUCUCUUAGUCUUGCUUCAUAUUUCUACAUGGCAGAUCUGCCUCUCUGUUAAACUCGCAUAUUCUCAUUUUCUUUGCUAUCAAAUACACCCUGUUUUGUGUAUAUUUUUUUUCCAUUUAUCCUUCUGAGUGAUGUAACUCUUUUUCUUUCUCUUAUUGUUAUUACAUCCAUACAUCUUUUAUUUCAUUUCUGUGCUCAGAAUUUCUAUUUUUUUCUUGCUUUAUUUCAUUCGUGUGCAUUCCAUUUCUCUUGUUUCUCUUUCUUCAGUAUCUGUUCGACUUCAUUUCAUGCACGAUAAGUCUGUUUCUCCAUCAAAAUCCCACAAUACUUCUGCCUUUACUAACAGAUAUAUGUAUUCUCUGUGUAAAACAUUUCUCUAUUUUUUCUUCUAAAUUCUAUAUACAUUUUACUUUACUUCAAUGCAUGACAAUUCUCUCUCUGCCCCCUUCUUUUUACUGGCAGAUGGCAGAUGAAUAAAUAUUCUGUGAAUGAUAUUUCUCUUAUUUUGUCUUCUUAAAGGUACACCUUCAUUGCUUCAUUUUGGUACAAAACAGCUGCCACUCUCUUACAAACCAACAAUACCUCCCCCUCCACGUUAUCAGAUACAUAUACUUUAUGUACUUAACAUUUCUAUUAUUUUUUCCUUCUUAAUUCUACAGCUGUGUAUUCCAUUUUUGGGCACAAUGGCUCUCUCAUUCCCUCCCUCUGCCCAAGGUCCCAUAAUAUUUAUCUUUAAAAGCAUAUAUUUAUAUUCUUUUGUGUGGAAUUUCUCUCAAUUUCCAUAUUAAACCUAUAUUCUGGGUUUGAGGUUCUCACAAUGGUGAAUAUCUUCUGGGAUGUAAUGUUAUGAAGCCCAGUCGAGUCCACUGAUGUUUCUGAGGAAUGUACUUCCCCCAUCUUCAGAGUCCAUGAGUAAACUGGACUAUAUGGUACUAGAUCCCUUCUUUCUAUGUUCAUUCUAUAUCUGUUCAAUCUAAUUUUUGUGCAUGAUCGUUCCUUCUCUACUUAAACGUCUGUACUAUCAGAUACAUCUUAUACUUUCUGCAUGCCACUUCCCUUACUUCUCCAUUUUAAUUCUAUGUCUCCUUUCAUUGCAUUGAUAUGCAUAAGAUCGCUCUUCUUAAUUUCAUUUCUGUGCAUGUUACAUAUUUCUCUCUUUAUUAUCAGUUAGGUCUAUUCCAUGUAUGGUAUUUCUCCUAAUUUCCCUUCUUAUCUAUAUUAUUUCUGUGCAUGACAUCUGUCUUUAAUUUCUCUUCUUAAUCCUGUGUUUCGUGUUUUAUGUUAUUUCUGUGUAUGGCAUUUCUUUUAUUUCCUUUUCUCAAUUCUAUGUGUUUCAUAUUAUUUCUGUGCAUGCCAUCACUCUUCUACUCCAUUUUUAACGUCAUGUUUCUUUUAUACUAUUUAUGUGCAAGUCAUCUCUCAUAUUCUUGAUUUGUAAUUGUAACUGUAUUCCAUAUUAUUUCUGUACUUUCCCUUCUUAAUUUUAUAUGUUUCUACAUUAUUUCUGUGCACAGUAUCUUAUUUAUUUUCAAUCCUUAAUUCUCCAUGUGUUUUAUUUCUUUUCUGUGCAUGACACCUUUUUUAUUUCCCUUCUUUCAUUCAUUGUAUGUUUUAUAGUAUUUCUACACAUUAUAACCCUCAUAUUUUCCUUUCUUAAUCCAUAUAUUUAUAUUAUUUCCCUGCAUAAUCUCUCUUAUUUUCCCUUCUUAAUUCUGUGUGUUUUAAUGUAAUUUCUGUGAACUAUCUCUCUUAUUUCACCUUCUUAAUUCUCUGUUGUUAUAUUAUUUAUGUGCAUGAUUUAUUUGUUAUUUCCCUAAUUAAUUCUAUGUGUUUUACAUAACCUAUACUCAUGAUCUCUUUCUUAAUUUCCCUUCUUAAUUCUACACAUCUUAUAUAUUACUUCUGUCAUACCAACUCUCUUAUUUUCCUUCCUCAGUUCUUUCUGUUUCAUGCUAUUUCUGUGCAUGACACCUCUCUUAAUUUCCUUUAUUAAUUCCAUGUGUUCUUUAUAUUCUGUUCUUAAUUCUACAGGGUUCAUAUGAUUUCCAUUCAUGUCAUCUAUCUUAUAUUUUCUUAUAAUUCUGAGCGUUUUAUAUUAUUUCUGCACAUGAUGCCCCUUCUCUCAUCUUCCCUUUUUAUUUCUGCAUGUUUUACACUACUUCCAUGCCCUCCUUUCUUCUCCAUUCUAUAUGUGUGCAUGUUAUCUCUCCUAUUUCCUCUUCUCAAUUCCAUAUGUUUUAUCAGUUCUGUGCAUGAAAUGUCUUACAAUGCCUCGUUAAUUCUGCGAAUAUUUUAUACUAUUCCUAUUUAUGAUCUAUUAUAUUUUCCCUCCUUAAUUCUGUAUGCGUUUUAUGCUACUUCUGUGCAUGAUAUCUUUUGUAUUUUCUCUUUUCCAAUCUAUAUGAGAUUUAUAUUGUUUCCAUGCAUUCUUUACUUUCUCUACUUAAUUCUGUGGGGAUCUUAUUUUAUUUCACUGUAUCUCUUAUUUUCCCCAUUAAUGGUCGUUUAUAUUAUUUAUGUACAUGUGUCUUGUUUUUCCUCCUUAAUUAUGUAGGUUUUACAUUAUUUCUGUGCAUAUUUCUCUUACUCCAUAAUUAUGUGUUUAUAUUACUUCCGUGCAUGUCAUUUUCAAUUCUGAAUUCUAUGCUUUAUAUUAUUUCUAUGCAUGAUAUCUCUUGUUAUUUUCCUUUCUUAUAUCUGCAUUUAUCUAUUUAUUAUUUGUGACAGUGAUAUCCCUUAUUUUGCUUAAUUCUAUAUUUUUAUAUUACAGUGUGUCCACAAAGUUCCUUCGGGGUUUUGAAAAAUCGUGGCGCACAAACAAAUUGAGCUAGCAAUAUUCGGUUUGCGGUAGAUUAUAGUGAAACUCUGGAAGUAUUUUACUGACCUCAGUAGACCUCAAUGUGGGCUCCCUUGGUAGCAUGGAGAACGUCCAGACAAUAUUCGAGCUCUUGCCAUGUUCUGUGGAGCAUGUCCGCUGGAAUAGUCGAGAUCGCAUUCUUGAUACAGGUCUUCAGGUCGUCAAGUCUGUUAUCUGGUAUUCGGAACACACUGUUCUUGGCAUAAACCCACAGGAAAAGAUCCAGUGGUGUUAUGUCUGGCGAAUGUGGUGGCCUAGGCAUUGAACCGUCUCUGCCGAUCCAUCUUCCUGGAAAUGUCCUGUCUAGGAAUGCGGAUUUUUUUCACUAUGAUCUGCCGUAAACCAAAUGUAGCUAGCUCAAUUUGCUUGCACGCCACAAUUUUUCAAAACCCCAAUAGAACAUUGUGGACAUACUGUAUUUCUAUAAAUACCUCUCUUACUUUCUUCUCUUAAUUUUAUGUUUUACUUCAUUUACUUUUCCUUCUUAAUUCUGUGUGUUUUAUAUUAUAUCCAUAGAUAUCUCUGUUGUUUUCCCUUCUUUUCUGCAUCUUUUAUGUUAUUUCUGUACAUCUCUCUUAUUUUUCCCCUCAUAUUUUCUUUCAGUAUUUCUGUGCAUGACAAACAUCUCUCUCUUUAUUUUCAGAUACAUACGUUCUGUCUUAUACUUCCUUUUUGAUCCUGUAUAUUUCAUUUAAUUUCUGUGCAUGCCAUUUCUUACAGUCUUCCUUCUAUACCAUUUAAUUCUGUGCAUAAUACCCACUCUAUAUACAUAUUCUGUGCCAAAAUGUUUACUCUGUGCAACACUGUGUAUGCUGCAAUUUAUUUGCCAUUUUCAUCCUACAACCCUAACAGGUUUGUUACAGACAUUUUUACAUUUGGUGUACCCGUCAUAACAACCAAUAUAUCUGUUUUGUAUGAUACAUCUGCAUGCAAACGCAUCUUUUGAUCUCCAAUCUUGAAUGUUUUCACAUAUCACGAAAUAAGUUACCCGUAUUCACAUUCAGUUUCAAUCUUUUAGGUUGUUCAUGUAAAUGUUGUAUCCCUCUCCCUCCACUUAAUUGUCUAGAACAUACUAAUUCUGUAUUCUUCGAUUUCUAUUAACAUUUUUUCACUUACUCUGCACCAAUAAUCUGUUCCAUAUUAUACAUUUCUGUACAUUUUUCUUUCCUCCUGCUCAAUGUGUAACAUGAAAUGACUUUUGUCUCAUUCUGGAACAUCUUUAUUUUCAAUCCCUGUCUAACAUCUGUUGCAUGUGGUCUCACACUUUCAUUUUAUUCUUUGUCAAAUCUACAUGUUUUCUAACUUUUCUUACACUUUUCCUUAACCCAUUCUUCUUUCUGUACAUUAAAUUGGUUUCGUCUACAGCAAUUUUUAUGUAUGGUCUCCAUCACACCCUCUCUUUUAUCCCUUAAUGUCAUAAACAUCCCUAGCAUAUGAUCUCUCUUUUGCAUUAUUUUAAAUCCUGCAGUUGACUUGAGAAUUCACUACAUAUAUACGAGUAUAAUUACCAUUCCCCCAUACUCUUUUAUUCUUUAAAUGAAAAACAUUUCUCAUGUUUAUUUGGUCUCUGUACACUCUGUCAAUUUUCCUCAACUUGCUACAUUUACUUUGUGCUACUAUUUGUACUCUGUAAUCUACACAGAGUCACUGGAACUAUAAAUUAGGUUGGAGUGAACCAGGUAAUUAAUAAUGGAUUAUAGGCUGUAAACUCCUUCUACGUCUCAUUUACUGGCAUUGUACAGGCCAAGCCAGUGAAUGCGUAUAUUUCUCUUACACUCUACUUAUCUGAUAAUGCUAGCUGACACAUCUGUAUCUGCAUCAUUCUCACUUCCCUCCUUUUUCUUUUCUCUCAUUCUUCCACUCCCUCCUCUUUCUACAUUCCAUGUAUUCUGAAAGAUGUCUUCAUUAUGUAAUCUUACCCACUCUAUUCAUAUUAUAUAUUUACAGAUAUAUAUACAAAUGAUCUUUGUCGUCCUCAUUCAAUUCUCCAGAAUAUGUUUUUAUGUUAAAAGCUGUCUGCAUAUUUUAUAUCAUUCAGCUCUCUGAAAGAUAUAAACUCUUUUCUUUUGGUCAAAUUACCUUCAACAAUUAAUUCUUUUACUAUAACCUCACUUUAGUUACUGUGUACUUUUGCUGUUAUUUAAUCUACAAACUUUAAGCUUAACCUUUGCCUGUACUACCUUCAUAUACUCUGAAAUGUCUCUUAUAUGCAGUCCUCAUUAUAAAUUCAUUAACUGUUUUUUUCUUCAGUUUCAAUAUACUUGUUCUCUUGUCAUUUCCUAUACCUCUCAUUCUCACUGUCAGAAAUAUAUUUAGUGUGCACUACAUAUUCCAUAAUCCCUGCCUCUCUCUCUCUCUCUCACUUCCUGUCAGUCUCUCUUGUGGUUACUUCAGCUCUACAUUACCUCAAAUCUAUCAGCCUCCCUUGCUCCAUAGCCUUCUGUCUUUGUCACUCCAGUCCUCUCACCUCUUUUCACCUUUCUCCUAUAUCCAAAUACGUGGUACUGCUAUCAGUGUCUGUUCACAUUAUCUAUUCACUUUUAAUCUUCACACUUUAUUCCCUGUUUCAGCCUUCCUGUUAUGCCAUGUCAUUAAUCUGUUCCCUUUCUUCAUUUUACCUAUUGACCCUCUUUUCUAUUUCUCUUUAACAUAUAUCUGUCUGUAAAGUGACGACAGGGCAGCUGACUGGUCAAGACAUAUGUCCUAGGCAUUAGAUAAAAUAAAGGAAUACUAGAUGAAACUCUCUUACUGAAUGUCUAGGUAUCCAGAUUACAUAUGGCACACAGAAGGCUAACUGCAUACUAAACCUGCUAUGUAACAUCUAAACAAUUCAAAUUUAACAUCAUUGUUUCUUUGUCCUCUUCUGCCUUCUUUAUGUUUUUCAUUGUUUUCAAUUCUGUAUCAGAUUUUCAGCCCUAUCCCUCUCUCUCUCUCUCUCUCUGUCUCUUGCUGUAUCUGUUUUCAUCUGUUUUUGUCACUUUCUCUUUCAAUAUGUCUUUCUGUAUGUUUAUUUCUAUGUUUCUUCCUUUUAUCUAUUAUUUUCUGUUUCCUAUAAUCUCCACAUUUACAGUAGCUUCAUAUGUAUUUCCACCCACCCUUCUGUACAUUUGUCUUAUGUAAAUAUCAAUCCUGUCUUUUUCUGACUUUCCACAUCUUUCUAAUAUACAUCUUGUCUCUUGAAUAUAUUUCUGUCUCUACUUCUGUAUUUCUUUCAUAGGUUCUUUCUGCAAACUAGUUCUGUGUAUUAAAUCUUUCUUGUAGUUGUUUCCCUGCCUAUUGUUAACUUCCCCUGUCUUUUUUUCUGUCUUUGCCAAUUUGUCUCAUAUAUAUUCCAUCUCUGUCUGUCUCUGGGUCUUCAGCUCCUAGUUCUUUUGUCUCUGUAGUAAUAUCUCUGGGUUUCUUAUAUCCCUGUUUCCUGUAUCAUCCUUCCAUACUUUGUCACUUUACGCUGCUUAUAGGUUAUUGUUAAUGGUACUGCCAAAAUCUUGAUCCGAGAGGAUGUUAAACAUAUGGCAAAUGUAUUUUCCUUCACAACACUCUCCUUUUAUAAGCACACAUACUCUUACAUUCUCACCAGUUUUCAUUAGUAACUGUUUGUAAUUAAUUUGAUGUGAUGCAGUCAGCUGUGUUAUUUUCUGAGUAUUACAGGAAAAUGUUGUGUUUGUCUCACAGAUGUUUUUUCUUCUUGGUAUUUGGAGGUCCCUCAGUUUGCAAGACCACAAGCCAUAGCAUACAUAGCUUACAAAUAGACCCAGUACUGCUUGUAGCAACAUAAUUUCUAUGAUAUGAGGUUCUCAAAGCAGUAAAUAUUAAGAAAAGAGUUUCCUAGAAUGCGUUGACAUGGAGUAUGGUAGACAUUUAACAGUGUUUCAGAGGAAUCUGGUGACUCCAUCAUCAGGGUAGAAGACAGAGGCAGCAGUCUCCUCUGAAACACUGGUACCUAUCUACAAAACUAGAAGGCACCACUUGCCAGAAGAUAAUAAUCUUGUCAAUAUAAUUCCUUCUUGGGUGGAAAGAAUUAGACUCACUGAACAUAUGACAUACACAUUAUAUCAAUGAACUUGUUCAUCAUAAUCUUAAAUUGUAAAUGGGAUUAUUGAUUUAUAACAUGUCUGCUUGAAAAAUAAUCAAUUAAAGUCACUUAUUGGAGUUGAAAACAUUUAAACUUUGUUAUCACUUCAACAGACUAUAAGCACUAAACUAAAUAAUGAAAUUCAUGGCUGUGAGCACAACUUUCAUUGUCUUUCAUUUUAUUACUAAGAUGACUCCACUGCCAUGGAAGGAGAAAACAAUACAGAAAAUCAUAUGUAGCUUCUAGUAAUAAUAUCAAAAUGUAAGGAAGAAGAUGGCAAGAAUAAGGAAGAUGAAUUAUUAUAUGUCUUUAAAAAACUUCUCAAUGUGCUGGAAGAAUUGUUACUGUAUGUCACUGCUCUACAACAUUUCCCACAAGUUCUGGGAGAUAAAGAAAACAAAUAUAAUAGCUGAUAUCAAAAAGGUGCCAAGUUCAAUGAUGAAUUUGUGGAAACACACCAGCAUGUUAAAUAUGAAAUGGAGUUGUAAUGUCAGUAUUUGAUGUCCUUGCAAAUGAUAUCUUAUGGCAGGAGGAAGCAUCAUGGAACUGAAAAGUACUUCAUGGUACUAUGGGCUAAGAUGACAUGCUUGAUAACUUAACCCAUGAUGUCACCAAGGACGUGGAAAAGCAAUUUUUCUUACAUAUCUAACUUGAAGAAUGAGAGAAAACCAGUCAUAAUAUAUACUUACAAUUCAACAAAUCCGCUGACAGAUUAAAGAAAGCCUUAGAGCCACCACCAAGAUCAAGCAUGUGGAUACCUAUGGAGCAAUAAGGAAGACCUCCCUCCAUGGACACAAAGAAGAACGGUGCUUUUUCCAUCCAUGAUUAAGAGUUUCACCAUUAUUUAUUGUUCAUUUGAAUACCAUAUCUUAAUUUUAGAGAUGUAAAGAAUUGCAAAAUGCAUGAGAAACUACUAGCAGCUAUUACACAGAUCAUGAGUCGAUUUUAAAGGGUUCUGACGAUGGUGUAUAACACCCAGAAUUACUGGGUUUAUGGGCUUUUUCCAUCGCCUGCUAUUCUAGAGACUAGAAAACAUGGCGCUUCAGAAACUGCAUCUGUUUCUGUCCUCAGGUGAGGGGGAAAGACACCUACUCAGUGGGGUCCCUUAGAAAGAGCUAACCAGCUCAACAUUUCUACGACAAUUUUCAGUGAAUUAAUACCUUAUCCACAAGGAAGUGAAAUGAGAGAAAAAAAACAAGAGAAGUAAAAUAUUAAUUUUUCAUCACAUCAAUUCAAUUUCAAUUCCUGUUAUUUUAAAGGGGAAAGAAAUUCUAAAAGAAAGCAAUAAUCACACACUCAUAAAAUUACUUAAUGUAUGUUCUGUAACACAUAUAAAUAAGGAAAAAGGUGAUUUUUCUCAGCUGAAUAUGAGUGUUACAUUGCCACAGAAUAAACUAAAUACAGAGCUCUCCAGUUAUGCGUUCUGAAGCUCCUGUUGCAGUGACUAUCAAGAUUCCAGUCUUUUGGGUUGUGACACUGUGUAGUUCAGUAGACAUGUAUUGAUCGCUCCUUUUCUUGGAUUUAAUCAUAAGCCCAGUAAAGAUGUAUAGCUGAUGUGAAACUGAUUGGCACUUCACCAUACAUGUUUGUGGGGCUUGAGUCACUGCACCACCACAAACAGAAAAGAUUACUCAUCUUUUGUGAGAAAAUUGUACUUGAUGGGAUGGUUUCCUGACGUCAUCAAUGACCAUUUAAUUGAUUCAUAAGCACCAACUAUUUCAUGUCAAGUAUGCAAAGUUAAUUCACUGGGUAUGCCGAAGAUGUUGAUGUACUGUCUGCUGAUAGCAAGUUUUUAUUCUUCUAUUUUAUGAUUUCAAAAACAAAACAUGUUCCAAUUCCUCAGCAUUAAUUAGUAAUGAGUUUUGAAAGCCAUCAUUUUAUAGCGUACCUUCAGAUUUUUAAUAUUUCAUAUUUAUUUCAGGGAUACCUUGUGUCUCUUUCUAUUACCUAGGACUAUUGUGGUCACUGUUUAAUUUUUUCUCCCCAUUUUGUACACACAACUUUUCCACCAUUAAACAUCCAUCUAAAGAAUUCUUUGUCUUUGUUUAGCUUUAGUUCAGAAGUUGCUGCUUGGUCUGUUGAUGUGCGUGUGCCCUAUAGAAUACAUGAUCAUUCUUUACAUUUCAUAAAAAAAGAGCUUAUUACUGUGCCAAGUUAAAAAAAAACAUUCUAUAGGAAUAUUUUAUUUAAUGAAUUAAGAAUUCAAAUAUAACAAAUAUGUAAAUAUCAUUUCACAUACAUUUUUGUACCCCAUGUUUUUAUUUACUUCUUUUAUUUCUUACCUCCUAAAACUGUCCUUAUACUAGUCUCCUACCAAAGUUCAUGCUAAUUUUAUAAAUGUCACUAUGAUUAUGACAAACAUUCAUGCCAAAAGGAUUAUAAGAAAGCAUAUAAAAAUAUUAUAAAGCAACAACUUGACAUCAUCUUAUUAGGAAAACAACCAUAAGCUCUGUGAUCACUUGUUCAAAUGAAAUUUAAGCAUGUGUAAUACCAAUUUCUUUUCUACUUCACUCUGCAACGUAUAACUUUGUUCAUCACCAAAAUAGUUGUGAUAAAACUGUUUGUAAUUUCUAAUGUAAAUUACUGAUGUUCAUAUAUUUGUUCAUUUAAUAGUGUAAAAUUCUGUAAAAUCAGUUUCAUUUAUGAGUACGUAUUACAAAAACUAGUUUUGAAAACAUGUUAAUAAAAUUCUGAUUCAAAAUGCA